UACGAAGGGGGCUAGCGUUGUUCGGAAUUACUGGGCGUAAAGCGUGCGUAGGUGGUUCGUUAAGUCUGAUGUGAAAGCCCUGGGCUCAACCUGGGAACUGCAUUCCAAACUGGAAAGCUAGAGUGCAGGAGAGGAAAGUGGAAUUCCCAGUGUAGCGGUGAAAUGCGUAGAGAUUGGGAGGAACACCAGUGGCGAAGGCGGGUCUCUGGGCCGAAACUGACGCUGAGGAGCGAAAGCGUGGGGAGCGAACAGG
rnacentral:rRNA from 1 species